rnacentral:rRNA from 1 species
CCAGACUCCUACGGGAGGCAGCAGUGGGGAAUAUUGCACAAUGGGGGAAACCCUGAUGCAGCGACGCCACGUGGGUGAAGGAGCACCUCGGUGCGUAAAGCCCUAUCGGCAGGGAAGAAACAGACGGUACCUGACUAAGAAGCCCCGGCUAACUACGUGCCAGCAGCCGCGGUAAUACGUAGGGGGCAAGCGUUAUCCGGAUUUACUGGGUGUAAAGGGCGUGUAGGCGGGACUGCAAGUCAGAUGUGAAAACCAUGGGCUCAACCUGUGGCCUGCAUUUGAAACUGUAGUUCUUGAGUACUGGAGAGGCAGACGGAAUUCCUAGUGUGGCGGUGAAAUGCGUAGAUAUUAGGAGGAACACCAGUGGCGAAGGCGGUCUGCUGGACAGCAACUGACGCUGAGGCGCGAAAGCGUGGGGAGCAAACAGGAUUAGAUACCCUUGUA